AUAAAGAUGCCUAGUGGAAUUUGUUGAGUCGUUGCACUUAUUUUAUAUAUAUAAAAAAUAAGUGCAACGACUCAACAAAUUCCACUAGGCAUCU